AUUCCCCUAACAGGUUAUUCCCCCUAACAGGUUAUUCCCCUAACAGGUUAUUCCCCUAACAGGUUAUUCCCCUAACAGGUUAUUCCCCCUAACAGGUUAUUCCCCCUAACAGGUUAUUCCCCCUAACAGGUUAUUCCCCUAACAGGUUAUUCCCCUAACAGGUUAUUCUACUAACAGGUUAUUCCCCUA